rnacentral:rRNA from 1 species
CCUACGGGAGGCAGCAGUGAGGAAUAUUGGUCAAUGGACGAAAGUCUGAACCAGCCAAGUAGCGUGAAGGAUGACUGCCCUAUGGGUUGUAAACUUCUUUUAUAUGGGAAUAAAAUGUUCCACGUGUGGGAUUUUGUAUGUAUCAUAUGAAUAAGGAGCGGCUAACUUCGUGCCAGCAGCCGCGGUCAUACGGAGGAGCCGCGCGUUAUCCGGAUUUAUUGGGUGUAAAGGGAGCGUAGGUGGAUUGUUAAGUCAGUUGUGAAAGUUUGCGGCUCAACCGUAAAAUUGCAGUUGAAACUGGAAGUCUUGAGUACAGUAGAGGUGGGCGGAAUUCGUGGUGUAGCGGUGAAAUGCUUAGAUAUCACGAAGAACUCCGAUUGCGAAGGCAGUUCACUGGACUGCAACUGACACUGAGGCUCGAAAGUGUGGGUAUCAAACAGGAUUAGAUACCCCAGUAGUC